UGGGGAAUAUUGGACAAUGGGGGCAACCCUGAUCCAGCCAUGCCGCGUGAGUGAUGAAGGCCCUAGGGUUGUAAAGCUCUUUCAGCGAGGAGGAUAAUGACGUUACUCGCAGAAGAAGCCCCGGCUAACUUCGUGCCAGCAGCCGCGGUAAUACGAAGGGGGCUAGCGUUGUUCGGAAUCACUGGGCGUAAAGCGCACGUAGGCGGAUUGAUAAGUUAGGGGUGAAAUCCCAGGGCUCAACCCUGGAACUGCCUUUGAUACUGUCAGUCUUGAGUCCGAGAGAGGUGAGUGGAACUCCGAGUGUAGAGGUGAAAUUCGUAGAUAUUCGGAAGAACACCAGUGGCGAAGGCGGCUCACUGGCUCGGUACUGACGCUGAGGUGCGAAAGCGUGGGGAGCAAACAGGAUUAGAUACCCCCGUAGUCC
rnacentral:rRNA from 1 species